rnacentral:rRNA from 1 species
AGCAGUGGGGAAUAUUGCACAAUGGGCGCAAGCCUGAUGCAGCCAUGCCGCGUGUGUGAAGAAGGCCUUCGGGUUGUAAAGCACUUUCAGUUGUGAGGAAGGUGGUGUUGUUAAUAGCAGCAUCAUUUGACGUUAGCAACAGAAGAAGCACCGGCUAACUCCGUGCCAGCAGCCGCGGUAAUACGGAGGGUGCGAGCGUUAAUCGGAAUUACUGGGCGUAAAGCGCAUGCAGGUGGUUUGUUAAGUCAGAUGUGAAAGCCCGGGGCUCAACCUCGGAACUGCAUUUGAAACUGGCAGACUAGAGUACUGUAGAGGGGGGUAGAAUUUCAGGUGUAGCGGUGAAAUGCGUAGAGAUCUGAAGGAAUACCGGUGGCGAAGGCGGCCCCCUGGACAGAUACUGACACUCAGAUGCGAAAGCGUGGGGAGCAAACAGGAUUAGAUACCCUGGUAGUCCACGCUGUAAACGAUGUCUACUUGGAGGUUGUGGCCUUGAGCCGUGGCUUUCGGAGCUAACGCGUUAAGUAGA